GCAAGUCGAACGGUAACAGCAAGAGCUUGCUCUUGGCUGACGAGUGGCGGACGGGUGAGUAACGCGUAGGGAUCUACCUUCUGGUGGGGGAUAGCCCGGAGAAAUCCGGAUUAAUACCGCAUAAGACCUACGGGCGAAAAGGGGCAAUUCUUGGGAGCUCUUGCCGGAAGAUGAACCUGCGUUAGAUUAGCUAGAUGGUGGGGUAAUGGCCUACCAUGGCGACGAUCUAUAGCUGGUCUGAGAGGAUGAUC
rnacentral:rRNA from 1 species